rnacentral:rRNA from 1 species
CCUACGGGAGGCAGCAGUGAGGAAUAUUGGUCAAUGGACGAGAGUCUGAACCAGCCAAGUAGCGUGAAGGAUGACUGCCCUAUGGGUUGUAAACUUCUUUUAUAUGGGAAUAAAAUGUUCCACGUGUGGGAUUUUGUAUGUACCCUAUGAAUAAGGAUCGGCUAACUCCGUGCCAGCAGCCGCGGUAAUACGGAGGAUCCGAGCGUUAUCCGGAUUUAUUGGGUUUAAAGGGAGCGUAGGUGGAUUGUUAAGUCAGUUGUGAAAGUUUGCGGCUCAACCGUAAAAUUGCAGUUGAAACUGGCAGUCUGGAGUGCAGUAGAGGUGGGCGGAAUUCGGGGUGUAGCGGUGAAAUGCUUAGAUAUCACGAAGAACUCCGAUUGCGAAGGCAGCUCACUGGACUGCAACUGACACUGAGGCGCGAAAGUGUGGGUAUCAAACAGGAUUAGAUACCCGGGUAGUC